rnacentral:rRNA from 1 species
CCUACGGGAGGCAGCAGUGAGGAAUAUUGGUCAAUGGGCGAUAGCCUGAACCAGCCAAGUCGCGUGAGGGAAUACUGCCCUAUGGGUUGUAAACCUCUUUUGUCGGGGAGCAAGGGCGGUACGUGUCCGGCUUUGAGAGUACCCGAAGAAAAAGCAUCGGCUAACUCCGUGCCAGCAGCCGCGGUAAUACGGAGGAUGCGAGCGUUAUCCGGAUUUAUUGGGUUUAAAGGGUGCGCAGGCGGCUUGUUAAGUCAGCGGUAAAAUCUUGGGGCUCAACCCCAGCGAGCCGUUGAAAUUGGCGAUCUAGAGUGUGAGAGAGGUAUGCGGAAUGCGUGGUGUAGCGGUGAAAUGCAUAGAUAUCACGCAGAACCCCGAUUGCGAAGGCAGCAUACCGGUGCACAACUGACGCUCAGGCACGAAAGCGUGGGUAUCGAACAGGAUUAGAUACCCGUGUAGUC